rnacentral:sRNA from 1 species
GCUGGGCAUUGUGGCACAUGCCUGUAAUCCCAGCAACUAGGGAAGUGGAGACAGGAGAAUUGCAGGUUUAAAGCCAGCCUCAGCAACAGUGAGGUGCUUAGCAACUCAGUGAGACCCUGUCUCUA